GGCUUCGCCCAAACAGGUCCAGAAGCUUGAGACGGAGUAACUGCGGAAAUUGGUAGUAACUUACAGUAUCGCUACUCUAACGACAGCUUUAUGGGAAGGGGAUCGUUCGGCAUUGUUUACAAGGCUACGGUAGUAGAUGGUGGUACUUGCACGGAAGAAAACGUAAUAGCUGUCAAAGUGGAACACAUUAGCACUCCUUUCGAAGAUGCUGUUGACUCAGAAAGCUGGAUAAAGAUGAUGAAGAGACUCCGGAAACUUACCGAACUAGCUCACGACAAUCUCGUCGUUUAUCACAAAGUAACAAUCACGAAAGCUUCCGUUGGAGCGACCGUUGAGCUGGCAAUGGACUGCCAUAAAGGUGAUUUGGCUUCUUUUUUAAGAGAGGCACAGAAAACACAUAGCCUGCUAAAUAGCUAUGGAAAGGUCAAACGCUUUACAAGGCAUUUAACUCAAGGACUCCACUUCCUGCAUAAGAGCGGAAUCAUUCAUGGUGAUUUAAAACCGGGAAACAUUCUUGUGAAGAUGUUGGCUUGUCGCCACGAAGAGUUACUCAUCGGUGAUUUGGAUGAUUUAGUUUUAAUGCGAGAAAACGCAACUUGUUCUGCAGACAUUUCGCACUUACGCGGUACAGUGCGUUACAUGUCACCCGAAAUGCUUCAAAAAUUUUCCGAAAAGUGAACAGAGACACCUGGAAGAAAAAGCGAUAUUUUUAGGUUGAGCUGCAUGAUUCUGGAGAUGACAGAAUGCUAUAAACGUAUACCAACAAAGCUACUAGUGAAAGAUGAUAAUAUUGUUGUUGUUGAGAGCAACGCUAGCAAUCAGCGCUAUGCCACUCUGAUGAUCGACGGUUACGUUCCAUUCGUGAGUGCUGACACCGAGGACAACUUAGCCGAUCUGAUCCGAUCAUGCUUGAAUCCAGUUAGCGCAAAGAGAGCAUCCGCAAAACAUAUUUUGCAUAUGCUCCCAGGAAAAGAAGUUAUAGUAUUCUUUCGCUUGGGCUUCCGAAACGUUCAAAAUUUUUUAAUAUUCGACCCUUUUACUAGCUCUUUUUAUGUUCAAAACGUGCUUGGUGUACCAAUUUUUUCCAACUUUUCUUAUCCUUAUCACUCUCACCUAGCGGCUACAGACACAGCAUUAAUAAUAAUAAGAGAGCGUAUAAAUGCCACGGGGGAUGUGACUGAGACGCUAUACCUAUGGAAUCUGGGCGACAGAUCGUGGUGUGAGCUGUUGCCGUCCAGGAAGAUACGGUACACACCCCCCAUCGUGAUCAAUUGCAAGGCCUAUUUCUGGGAGAACAAUGAAUUUUUUAAGGUACUACACCUGUCUACCGGCAGCAUUAAGUCUUUACAAGCCCCAUCCGAAAUGAGAGUUUGUGCGGUGGCACUGGCUGUGGCGAAAUAUGGUGAACAGAUCUUUUAUGCUACAUCACGCAGCCUGUACUGCUACGAUACGGCAACUAAAGAAUGGUUCUCCUUGCCGGAGCUCCCAGCGUUGCGAGUCCGGUUUGAGCUGGCUGUGGUUAACGGAUACGUUUACAUUCUGGGUGGGAGUUUCAAGAGCGACGACGAAUCAUUCCAACAUCUAUCUGUAGUUGUAUUCGUUUGAACUUGGACAGUGCUGCAUGGAAAGAUAUCGAGCCGUUUCGGCAACAAAGAUUCCGGCAUUCUGCGUGUGUUGUUACGGACCGAAUAUACGUUUGCGGCGGCAGACACACUGACUACAAGCACGCGUGCACCAUUGAGUUUUUCGAUACCAAACACAACACACGUUGGUCGUAAGUUAACUUGUCAGAAGAUAAUCAGCUGCUACUGUUGGGCCAAGCCGCACGCCGCGAUUACCGUGGCGUAGUGUCUGCCAUAACGGUUCAGCUGGAAUGCGGCUUCCCUCUAGAUGCCGGUAUUCGAAGUUGUUGAACGGCAUUUCUUCUUCCGCAUCCUAGAGUGCCACAGAAUUUACACAUACAGGAACUCUUGCUGAAGAAACUGGUGCGAAUUGCAAUGAAAGUUUUGUCUAAUGAUUACCGAUUGGCUCACUUAUUGUGCGUAUUAUGACGGAUUCAACAUUUUUUGGUAAUUCCCGCUUAAGGGAA